UACGUAGGGGGCAAGCGUUGUCCGGAAUUAUUGGGCGUAAAGCGCGCGCAGGCGUCUUUGUAAGUUUGGUGUUUAAUCUCAGAGCUCAACUCUGAUUCGCAUCGAAAACUGCAAGGCUUGAGUACAGAAGAGGAAAGUGGAAUUCCACGUGUAGCGGUGAAAUGCGUAGAGAUGUGGAGGAACACCAGUGGCGAAGGCGACUUUCUGGGCUGUAACUGACGCUGAGGCGCGAAAGCCAGGGGAGCGAACGGG
rnacentral:rRNA from 1 species